ensembl:lncRNA
ACAAAAUAGAGGAAGAUUGUCACAGAUGUUAGCUCAGGGACAAUUUUCCUCAAACAAAAAGAAGAAGGUUGGCAACAGAUGUUAGCUCAGGGCCAACCUUCCUCACCAAGAAAAACUACAUCUAUCUAUCUACAUUGAUAUAUUUGGGUUUAUUGAUAACUCGAGUGGACUAGAUGUCAAGGAAUACAGUGAUCAAAAAGGAGAACAAACCUAACAACCCACUAUGUACCCACUAAAUUAUAAUUGGAAAAAUUAUAAACUCCAAUAUUUAUGAACACAGCCUUUCUUGAUAUAACUGGAACCUGGCUUUCCCAUGAAAUAUCAGAUCCUUGGAACCUUCUCAAGGGACACUACAUUUUUUCCCAAAACUCACCCACCACUGGCUUAUAGAUGAGAAUGAUGCUAGAGGGGCCUGUUGUAAUUCUGAAAAGGAUGGCCAAGAAAAAUAACAUUUGAACAAAGAUUUGAAGAAGAAAUUUAGCCAUACAGAUAUUUAGAAAAGUAUUUCAGGCAGAGAGAACUACCAGUGCAAAAGAUCUAAGGUGGUUUUCACUGGAAGCCCCAAGCUCAAGCUGUAUAAUCUGUCAUAUUACUGGAAAUGAACCCAGAUGUAAUUACAUUUUGAAAAGAGAUAACCGAACAUGUUUACAGGCUGAGAGAAAGCAUAGUUUAAAGAGUUAAAUGUAAAAUAAAAAUGCAAUUAUAAAAGCU